ACAACAACAACAACACGUGCAGAUCCUGCAGAUGAUUUAGUCUUAAAAGCUGUUAAUGUCACUUUGACAGCACAUCUUUCAGCUCAACUGCAAACAAAAAUCGACUCACUGUCUGAUAAAACGAGUGUCACGCGACUCACCUAAUAUGGUUGUAAACUCGUCCGGCUGAAGCAGAGCUCUGGACGUGUGGACAGACAUUGACUGUAAUGAUGGACAUCUGCUCAGGGACAGUCUGUGCAAAACAUGUAUAACCUCUGCGGAUCACGGUGCUGGAAGCUCCAGGGGGAGACUGUACUGAUAUCCCCCUUCUUCAGGCGCGCCUUCACACACACUCCACCAUUCACUUAUAUCGCAGAGACCUGGCUGGGAUCAAACCAGCAACCUCUGAACCCGUGAGGCAGCGCUCUUACCUGUGAGCCACAGGUCUCUUGUUGGAGUACAUGAAGGAACUUUUAUUUGACUGUGUACCUGUGAUUUCCCAAUACAGAAGUUACAGUAAAGUGUGUACGUGAUUUUUGGAGGAGAGAUUUGAACCCAUGUCUCCAUCACAAACUCAUACUCAGAAAAUGUGUGUUUAUCCACUAAGCCAUCAUGGAUUUCACAUUGUGUUUUGGCGUUUGAGUGACUUUGUUGGAUGAGAUCGAUUUAAAGUAAGCAAUAGUGAGAUUUGAACUCAGAUCUCCCAGAUUAAAACACAAAGUUUAUCUCUUGAGCCACCGAGUCUGUGGAGAUACAAAACAUUUCGAACAGGCUUUUAUUGAGAGAUUUGUUCUAAAUUAUGAAUAACAAUUAUGGGAUUUGAACCAGAACUUUCACGUUUGAGAUUGAAGCCUUCAACCACUGAGCCACAGAAGCUGUGAAGUUGCGCUGUUGUUGUUUUUACAGUCAUUUAGAUUUUAAGUUUAUUUCAAUGUAGGUUUAGGCUGAGUAAUAGAUGUUUAAUGCAUAUGUGGGAUUUGAACACAUCUCUUUUGCAGCUUCACAAGUCAAAGUCUCAUGUUUAGCCACUGCACCACUGUGCUUCAAAUAAAACAGAUGGUUUACUAUCGUUUUAUCUUCUUUGUAGUGU